rnacentral:ncRNA from 1 species
GAAAAAGCGUUGAAAAGGAAAAGUAGUUUAAUACUUAUUUUCAGAGAGCCGUUGUUCGCUGCAAAACGGUAAUAAGUAUUCAACGAAACUCACCUUGGAGUGUGGCUCUGAAAAAUAGUAGGAGCACCGGAUGUUAACCGCAUCCGUUAUCAAAACUAGCGAGCAAUAGUUCGCUUAGAGGCUAACGUGUUUUGUUAGUGAAAAGGGUGGUACCGCGUGAAGACUUUCUCGCCCCUUGC